CGUCCCUCUUGAGCUUCUCCAUGAAGUCCCGCUUGUCCUCUUCACCCACGUACACCUUCUCGCUCUUAUUCAGGAAGUCCACGUCCUUCAGCGUGGGCAGCUCUUUGCCCUUCUCUUUAUCGCUCGCUUCCCGUGACACCAGCGAGCCCUUCAGGUCGUACUUCCUGUGCACGGGCAGCCGGUGGCUGAAGGUGUUGCGCAUGGCCAGCAGGUAGCUCUCCUCGCUCUCCACGCUGGCGCGGUACAUCCCCAGGAACUGAGGCAGCAGAGUGCUGCCGUGGCACUGCACCACGUACUGGUGGUAGUGGGACAGCAGCCCGUGCACGUCGGCCACGUCCUCACUCGACAGCUCCUUCACCACCAGCGUGCGGUCGUAGGACAGCAGCAGGCGGCGGUCGCCGUCCUCAGCGUGGGGGGGGCUGCGCGUCAGCGACACCUGGUAGUCCUGGUCGUCGAUGCCGAAGCGCUCACGGAGGUUGCGGAAGACCUGGGGGCAGUACUCCUUGAACUUGAAGUGGCUGGGGAGGUGCUCCCGGUUGAAGAGGUGGUUGUUCACUUUGAUCUUGGAGCUGGCCUUGAAGUCGUCCGGCAGCAGCAUGACGGGGGGGGGCACCUGGCUCAGCUCGUUGAUCUGGUGGUUGACGCCCCAGGCCAGCACGGCCAGCAGCGGGUCGGCCGCCCGCGGCACCUUCACCCGCUGCGGCACGAAGCGCUUCUGCUUCUUUUUGGUCUUGGUACGCGGCGCCGCCGGCCCCGCCGCCGCAGCCAUGGCCGCCCGCUUCCGCCCGCCCCGCUUCCGCCCGCCGCGCCGCGGCGACGGAAGCGGGC
rnacentral:lncRNA from 1 species